AGUGAACGCUGGCGGUAGGCCUAACACAUGCAAGUCGAACGGCAGCACAGGAGAGCUUGCUCUCUGGGUGGCGAGUGGCGGACGGGUGAGGAAUACAUCGGAAUCUGCCCAGUCGUGGGGGAUAACGUAGGGAAACUUACGCUAAUACCGCAUACGACCUACGGGUGAAAGAGGGGGAUCGCAAGACCUCUCGCGAUAGGAUGAGCCGAUGUCGGAUUAGCUAGUUGGCGGGGUAAUGGCCCACCAAGGCGACGAUCCGUAGCUGGUCUGAGAGGAUGAUCAGCCACACUGGAACUGAGACACGGUCCAGACUCCGACGGGAGGCAGCAGUGGGGAAUAUUGGACAAUGGGCGCAAGCCUGAUCCAGCCAUACCGCGUGGGUGAAGAAGGCCUUCGGGUUGUAAAGCCCUUUUGUUGGGAAAGAAAUCUUUCAGGCUAAUACCCUGGGAGGAUGACGGUACCCAAAGAAUAAGCACCGGCUAACUUCGUG
rnacentral:rRNA from 1 species